rnacentral:misc_RNA from 1 species
GAUGAAGAACGUAGUGAAAUGCGAUGAGUAAUGCGAAUUGCAGAAUUUCCGUGAGUCAUCGAAUCUUUGAACGCACAUUGCGCCCACUGGUAUUCCGGUGGGCAUGCCUGUUCGAGCGUCAUUAUCCUCCCUCAAACCCCGGGUUUGGUGUUGGACCCAAGUUGUGUGAACAACUGGUCUCAAAGACAAUGACGGCGUCCGUGGGACCCUCGGUGCAACGAGCUUUUAGGAGCACGCAUCGAGUUGCAAGGACCUUCCGGGCCGGUCUCCUUUACCAUUUUACAAGGUUGACCUCGGAUCAGGUAGGAAUACCCGCUGAACUUAAGCAUAUCAAUAAGCGGAGGA